AGAUACUUCAACAAAGGGUAUGCCUCAGUGGCUGGUCCUCUGAAUUCCACCUUCGAAACACCUCGAGAUAAAGAUGGUCAUGGAACACAUACCCUAUCAACAGCAGGCGGUAAUUUUGUAGCAGGAGCCAAUGUGUUUGGGUUAGGCAAUGGAACAGCAAAAGGUGGUUCACCAAAAGCAAGAGUUGCAGCUUACAAGGUCUGCUAUCCCCCAGUUGGUGGAAAUGAGUGCUUUGAUGCAGAUAUCUUAGCAGGAUUUGACACUGCAAUAAGCGAUGGGGUUGAUGUCCUUUCUGUGUCACUGGGAGCAGUUCCUACCCCUUUCUUUAGUGACAGCGUUUCAAUUGGCUCUUUCCAUGCUGUAAAGCAUGGGAUUGUCGUGAUUUGUUCUGCUGGUAAUUCUGGUCCUGAUGAAGCUACUGUCUCCAAUCUUGCACCCUGGCAGAUCACUGUUGGUGCCAGUACCCAGGACAGGGAGUUCCCCAGUUAUGUUACCCUUGGCAAUAACAUUAUUUACAAGGGGGAAAGCCUAUCAGCAAUGGCCUUGCCAAAGAAUAAGUUCUUCCCAAUUAUAAGUGCUGCAGAUGCUAGAACAGCUAAUGCAUCGGUGGAAGAUGCGCUGCUGUGCGAAGCUGGAACACUUGAUCCCAAGAAGGCCAAGGGGAAGAUCUUGGUCUGCCUUCGAGGAGUAAAUGCAAGAGUGGAUAAGGGUGAGCAAGCUUCUCUAGCUGGUGCUGUUGGGAUGGUUCUUGCCAAUGACAAGGAUUCUGGGAAUGAAAUUCUCGCUGAUCCUCAUGUCCUUCCUGCUUCUCAUGUAAAUUACACCAUUGGUGUUGCUAUCUUCGCUUACAUUAACUCCACCAAGUCUCCUAUUGCUCACAUUACACCUCCAAUAACACAAAUAGGCACAAAGCCAGCUCCCUUCAUGGCAGCAUUUUCAUCCAAGGGUCCCAACACAAUUGCUCCAGACAUCCUCAAAGUAUCAGUAGCCACUUUUAGUCUUCUUCUUAUUCUUCAGAUACUUAACCAUUUAAUUAGAUGCUAAAUGAAUGAUCAUUUCUUUAUAUUCAGCCUGAUAUCACAGCACCAGGAGUAAGUAUCAUAGCAGCUUACACAGAAGCAGAAGGACCAACAAAUGAAGAUUUUGAUACACGACGAGUUCUGUUUAACUCUAUAUCAGGCACUUCAAUGUCAUGUCCUCAUGUUUCAGGCGUUGCUGGCCUUCUUAGAACUCUCUAUCCAAACUGGAGUCCUGCAGCAAUUAAAUCAGCAAUUAUGACUAGUGCAACAACGCGGGAUAACAACAAGGAGCCAAUUCUGAACGCAUCCUACUCCAAGGCUACUCCAUUCAGUUAUGGAGCAGGACAUAUCAGACCAAACCAAGCUAUGGAUCCAGGGCUGGUUUAUGACCUGACUGUUUACGAUUACCUGAAAUUUUUAUGUGCCUUGGGAUACAAUGCAACCCAAAUUUUAUCAUUCUCAGAGACUCCCUACAGAUGCACCUCCGAGGCUAUUAAUCUUGCCAAUUUCAAUUACCCUUCCAUCACCAUCCCUAAAUUCAAUCGCACGGUCACAGUCACUCGAAGAGUUAAAAAUGUUGGCAGUAUUCCAAGUACAUAUAGAGCUCGUAUCAGAAAACCAACUGGGAUUUCCAUUUCUGUUGAGCCAGAGAUCUUGAAAUUCAAUAAAGUUGGCGAAGAGAAGAGCUUUCAUGUUACCCUGAAAAGCCAAAAAUCCUCUCCAAGAAAGGACUAUGUAUAUGGAGAGCUGAUAUGGUCAGAUAGCAAGCACAUUGUGAGGAGUCCUAUUGUGGUGAAGUGGUGAAAAGCAGCUAAUGCUUCAUGAAAAUAGAGUUGAUUAAUUAACUAUUACAACUCAAUCCUGCUUAGAAGCUAUAAUUAUUCUCAGGAAUUGCUGAUGUUCCUUUGAUAAGAAUAAUGAAUAAGAAAAGUAAAGUAUUAGCAAUUAGCUACAUGAGAAUUCUUAUUUAUUUAUUUAUUUUCUACCAUCACUCGAACAUUCUUUAAAUAGAGGUGCUGC
rnacentral:misc_RNA from 1 species